rnacentral:rRNA from 1 species
UACGUAGGGUGCGAGCGUUAAUCGGAAUUACUGGGCGUAAAGCGUGCGCAGGCGGUUUUGUAAGACAGGCGUGAAAUCCCCGGGCUUAACCUGGGAACUGCGUUUGUGACUGCAAGGCUAGAGUACGGCAGAGGGGGGUGGAAUUCCACGUGUAGCAGUGAAAUGCGUAGAGAUGUGGAGGAACACCAAUGGCGAAGGCAGCCCCCUGGGUCGAUACUGACGCUCAUGCACGAAAGCGUGGGUAGCAAAC